AUGGAUCCUCAGGAUUGCGGCUGCGCCACCGGUGGCCGCUGCUCAUGUGAUGGAUCCUGCAAAUGCAAAAAUUGCAAAUGUACUUCAUGCAAAAAAAGUGAGCUGCUGUUCCUGCUGCCCCGCGAGCUGCAGCAACUGUGCCAAAGGCUGUGUCUGCAAAGACCCCUCUUUGAACAAAUGCAGCUGUUGC